UACGUAGGGUGCGAGCGUUAAUCGGAUUCAUUGGGCGUAAAGGGCGUCUAGGUGGCAUAGUAAGUUGGAUGUGAAAGCCUGCAGCUCAACUGCAGAAUUGCAUCCAAAACUGCUAAGCUUGAGUCCAGGAGAAGGGAACGGAAUUCUCAGUGUAGCGGUGAAAUGCGUAGAUAUUGAGAAGAACACCAGUGGCGAAGGCGGUUCCCUAGACUGAGACUGACACUGAAGCGCGAAAGCCAGGGGAGCGAACGGG
rnacentral:rRNA from 1 species